UGUCUCAAAGAUUAAGCCAUGCAUGUCUAAGUACAUGCCGAAACAAGGCGAAACCGCGAAUGGCUCAUUAAAUCAGUUAUGGUUCCUUAGAUCGUUUCUUCCUACUUGGAUAACUGUGGCAAUUCUAGAGCUAAUACAUGCAGUGAGCCCGAAGCCCCUCGGGGCGACGGGUGCUUUUAUUAGACCAAGAUCAAUCGGGCUUCGGUCCGUUUUGUGUGGUGACUCUGGAUAACUUUGUGCUGAUCGCACGGCCACGAGCCGGCGACGUUUCUUUCAAGUGUCUGCCUUAUCAACUGUCGAUGGUAGGUUAUGCGCCUACCAUGGUUGUUACGGGUAACGGAGAAUCAGGGUUCGAUUCCGGAGAGGGAGCCUGAGAAACGGCUACCACAUCCAAGGAAGGCAGCAGGCGCGCAAAUUACCCACUCCCGGCACGGGGAGGUAGUGACGAAAAAUAACAAUACGGGACUCUUUUGAGGCCCCGUAAUUGAAAUGAGUACACUCUAAAUCCUUUAACGAGGAUCCAUUGGAGGGCAAGUCUGGUGCCAGCAGCCGCGGUAAUUCCAGCUCCAAUAGCGUAUACUAAAGUUGCUGCGGUUAAAAAGCUCGUAGUUGGAUCUCAGUUACAGGCGGGAAGUGCGUGGACACCACGUUACGGCCCGUGCUGAACAUCAUGCCUGUCGCGGCUUGGUUCCCUUCAUCAGGUGCCUUGCUUUGACCGGCGCGUUUACUUUGAAAAAAUUAGAGUGCUCAACGCAGGCGAUUCGCCUGAAUAACAGUGCAUGGAAUAAUAGAACAAGAUCCUGUUUCUGUUCUGUUGGUUUUUGGAAUACAGGAUAAUGAUUAAGAGGGACAGACGGGGGCAUUCGUAUUGCGGCGCUAGAGGUGAAAUUCUUGGACCGUCGCAAGACGAACUACUGCGAAAGCAUUUGCCAAGAAUGUUUUCAUUGAUCAAGAACGAAAGUUAGAGGUUCGAAGGCGAUCAGAUACCGCCCUAGUUCUAACCAUAAACGAUGCCAACCAGCGAUCCGCCUGAGUUACUCAAAUGACUCGGCGGGCAGCUUCCGGGAAACCAAAGUAUUUGGGUUCCGGGGGAAG
rnacentral:rRNA from 1 species